rnacentral:lncRNA from 1 species
CCUAUCCAUACUCUUAUGCCUCUACUCAAGUUGCAAUACUCAUCAACUGACAAGUUCCUUCAACCAGCUCUCACAUUGAUUCACACACACACACAAAGUGAAUUCUCACAAAUGGGCACAUGAUCUCAAUCAUUUGGCUAGGUAAGCAAUGGUCUAAUAUGAAUGAAAAGAAGGAUUUAAAUGUUAUUAUUCCAAAGUGGUUAUCACUCAAGAACAAGGAACUUGAUCAUUAUGCAAAAUUUAUCUAAGAUUAGAAGCAACUCAUGCAUACAUAGAUUAAUUCUCAUCAUGCUACCCUUUUCCUAAGUGAUUACCAGUUCUACCCUUUUAUCAUCAUCUCAAACCAAAAUAAAACACACUCUCAUCACUCACCCAAUGAACAACUCUCUUCUUCUUUUGACUCAACUAACUAGGGACUUUAAUUCAUUUUCUUUACAGCACUUAGCUCUAACUCUUUCUCAUUUCCUUCCACACUUUCUCUUUGAUUCUUUUUCUUUUUUUCUAUAAGGGGGAAGGUUCUUUCGUACAUAAUCUAAAGCUUCAUACUUUCCCUUUUUCUUUUUUUUUUGUCCCUAGAGUUUUCUUUUCUAUUAACACUCUUUUAUUCAUCUCUCUCAUCUUUCUCACUCCUCAAACCCAAGAUAUUGAAAUUUAGGUUACACA